rnacentral:rRNA from 1 species
GCACAAGCGGCGGAGCAUGCGGAUUAUUCGAUGCAACGCGAAGAACCUUACCAAGGCUUGACAUACACCGGUAACGCCAGAGAUGGGUGCCCCUUUGUGGUCGGUGUACAGGUGGUGCAUGGUUGUCGUCAGCUCGUGCCGUGAGGUGUUAGGUUAAGUCCUGCAACGAGCGCAACCCUCGUCGCUAGUUAAAUUUUUCUAGCGAUACUGCCCGUAAAACGAGGAGGAAGGUGGGGAUGACGUCAAGUCAGCAUGGCCCUUACGCCUUGGGCUACACACACGCUACAAUGGGUGAUACAACGGGUUGCGAGAGAGCGAUCUGGAGCUAAUCCCUAAAAUCAUCCUCAGUUCGGAUUGCAGGCUGAAACUGCCUGCAUGAAGUUGGAGUUGCUAGUAACCGCAGGUCAGCACACUGCGGUGAAUACGUUCUCGGGCCUU